UACGGGGGGAGCAAGCGUUGUUCGGAUUUACUGGGCGUAAAGGGCGCGUAGGCGGCCACCGCAAGUCGACUGUGAAAUCUCCGGGCUUAACCCGGAAAGGUCAGCCGAUACUGCGGGGCUAGAGUGCAGAAGGGGCAACUGGAAUUCUCGGUGUAGCGGUGAAAUGCGUAGAUAUCGAGAGGAACACCUGCGGCGAAGGCGGGUUGCUGGGCUGACACUGACGCUGAGACGCGAAAGCGUGGGGAGCAAACAGG
rnacentral:rRNA from 1 species